UACGUAGGGGGCUAGCGUUGUCCGGAUUUAUUGGGCGUAAAGAGCGUGUAGGCGGCCUGGAAGGUCCGUUGUGAAAACUCGAGGCUUAACCUCGAGACGUCGAUGGAAACCUCCAGGCUAGAGUCCGGAAGAGGAGAGUGGAAUUCCCGGUGUAGCGGUGAAAUGCGCAGAUAUCGGGAAGAACACCCGUGGCGAAGGCGGCUCUCUGGGACGGUACUGACGCUGAGACGCGAAAGCGUGGGGAGCGAACAGGAUUAGAUACCCUGGUAGUCCACGCCGUAAACGAUGGGUGCUAGGUGUGGGGGGUGUCGACUCCCUCCGUGCCGAAGCUAACGCAUUAAGCACCCCGCCUGGGGAGUACGGCCGCAAGGCUAAA
rnacentral:rRNA from 1 species